rnacentral:rRNA from 1 species
GACGAACGCUGGCGGCGUGCUUAACACAUGCAAGUCGAACGAAGAGCGAUGGAAGCUUGCUUCUAUCAAUCUUAGUGGCGAACGGGUGAGUAACGCGUAAUCAACCUGCCCUUCAGAGGGGGACAACAGUUGGAAACGACUGCUAAUACCGCAUACGAUCUAAUCUCGGCAUCGAGGAUAGAUGAAAGGUGGCCUCUACAUGUAAGCUAUCACUGAAGGAGGGGAUUGCGUCUGAUUAGCUAGUUGGAGGGGUAACGGCCCACCAAGGCGAUGAUCGGUAGCCGGUCUGAGGGGAUGAACGGCCACAUUGGGACUGGGACACGGCCCAGACUCCUACGGGAGGCAGCAGUGGGGAAUCUUCCGCAAUGGACGAAAGUCUGACGGAGCAACGCCGCGUGAGUGAUGACGGCCUUCGGGUUGUAAAGCUCUGUUAAUCGGGACGAAAGGCCUUCUUGCGAACAGUUAGAAGGAUUGACGGUACCGGAAUAGAAAGCCACGGCUAACUACGUG